GAAUUUCGCCAAAAGCCACCAAAAUAUUAUUCAUUCAUCAACUGAAAAUAAAUUACAAUGCAAAAUAGUUUAAAUAGUAAAACCCUAACUAGAAUGAGCCUAGGCCAAUAUAAGCCUAAUAAGAAUCCAAAACGAAAUAAAGUCCACAAAAUGAAAUAAGGUCCAACUAAAAAUAAAUAAAAACGACUGGAUGUCCUCAUCAACUCUCCCGCGGUGGGAGAAAACUCGACCCUAUCGAGUUGAUAGAUCACUAGGCUGCAGUCAAUCUCCCAACCAUCAGCUAAGUGGUUGGACAAGCUUCUUCCGACGUCUGUAGAAAUAAAUUUUAUCUUUGUGUACUGUAAGAGGUAGUAGUGGGUUAGAAGCGGCCAAAUAAUCAAGAUCAAGGUCCACAAAAAGAGGUAACAAAGGAUCAUCUGAGGGAAUGAAAUGGCCUUUAUAAGCAGCUAAAUCCUCAACAUUGAAAGUAGAGUGGUAACCAAGGUGUGGUGGGAUAUCAACAACGUAUGCAUUUGGACCAACUUGCUUUAAAAUUUUAUAAGGACUUGCACUACGGGCUUACAAUUUGGAGGCGGGUACAUGUGGACGCCGCUCUGACCUAAUGCGGACCAUAACGUAAUCCUUAAUGUUAAACUCAACAUGUCAUUUAUGCAAAUCAACUUGAAGUUUAUAUUUUGCAUUAUUGGCUUCAAGUUGUUUUGAUAAAAGAAUGGGCUAGGUAAUGGGAUGGUCAAUUUUGGGUGAAAUACAUGGGUUAGGGUUUGUUGGAAGCAGCAAGGGAGCAACAAUAAUGUAAAAGAAUAUUUUCUCUUUUUCUUUUUUUUUUAAACCGAUCGAAUUCCUAAAAUGGAACUUUUUUUUCGGGUGAACAGUAAUGCUUUUUUUUUUUUUCAAAGAAAGAAAACUGAAAAAGAAAAAUGAAAAUUGAUGCUCGUAUGCUAGAUCUUCUUCAAUUGUGCUGUUCCAAAAUUCUUUUUUUUUUUUUUUUUUUUUUGGAAGUAAGUAGGAAGAAAUUUUUGGAUUGGAGAAGAGAGAUUACCCAAGUUUAGGCUCUGAUACCAAAUUUGAUGCAGCAUCAAUAGAAAAAUUAAUGAAGAAACAGAAAGUCAAUCGGGAAGAAGAAAUCAGGGGAAGGGAUGGAAGAAGAAGAGAAUAGGGGAAGAAGAACAGGGAAGUGGGAGAAUUUCGCCACAAACCACCAAAAUAUUAUUCAUUCAUCAACUGAAAAUAAAUUACAAUACAAAAUAGUUUAAAUAAUAAAAACCUAAACCUAACUAGAUUGAGCUUGUGCCAAUAUAAGCCUAAUAAGAAUCCAUAAUAAAAUAAAGUCCACAAAAUGAAAUAAGGUCCAACUAGAAAUAAAUAAAAACGACUGGAUGUCCUCAUCA
rnacentral:lncRNA from 1 species